rnacentral:rRNA from 1 species
CCCCACUGCUAUCGGGAUAGGACUAAGACAUGCUAGUCGAGCGCUUCAGCCAAAACGAGGCGCGGCAUACAGCUCAGUAGCACGUGGCUAACCUACCCUUGGGAUAGGAACAACCCCGGGAAACUGGGGCUAAUUCCCAAUAGGCGAAGAACUCUGGAAUGAGUCUUCACCAGAAAGGACACCUAAGUUAUGCUCUUAGGUUCGCCCAAGGAUGGGGCCGCGGCCGAUCAGGUUGUUGGUGAGGUAAUGGCUCACCAAGCCUUUUACCGGUGCGGGCCGUGAGAGCGGGAGCCCGGAGAUGGGCACUGAGACAAGGGCCCAGGCCCUACGGGGCGCAGCAGUCGCGAAACCUUUGCAAUACACGCAAGUGUGACAGGGCUAUCCCGAGUGCCAUCCGCUGAGGAAGGCUUUUACCCAGUCUAGAAAGCUGGGGGAAUAAGGAGAGGGCAAGUCUGGUGUCAGCCGCCGCGGUAAUACCAGCUCUUCGAGUGGUGUGGAUGUUUAUUGGGCCUAAAGCAUCCGUAGCUGGCUAGGUUAGUCCCCUGUUAAAUCCACCGAAUUAAUCGUUGGAUUGCGGGGGAUACUGCUUGGCUAGGGAACGGGAGAGGCAGACGGUAUUUUCGGGGUAGGGGUGAAAUCCCAUAAUCCCGGGAAGACCACCAGUGGCGAAGGCUGUCUGCUAGAACGUGUCCGACGGUGAGGGAUGAAAGCUGGGGGAGCGAACCGGAUUAGAUACCCGGGUAGUCCCAGCUGUAAACGAUGCAGGCUAGGUGUUUGGACGGCCACGUGCCGUUCUAGUGCCGCAGGGAAGCUGUUAAGUCUGCCGCCUGGGGAGUACGAUCGCAAGAUUGAAACUUAAAGGAAUUGGCGGGGGAGCACCACAAGGGGUGAAGCUUGCGGUUU